GUACUUACCUGGCUUAGGGAUACCUUGAUUAUGCAGGCGGUUCCCCCAGGGUGAGGCUGCGCCAUUGCACUGUGGAGGGGUUGACCCUUGCGAUUAUUUUUAUUUUUUAUAAGUUCCACUUCUACCGUGUGUGACAUGCACAUGCACACACACA